rnacentral:tRNA from 1 species
AUCUAGUGGUCUAAUGAUGAUGUCUGUUUUACACGCAGAGGGUGGAUUAUGUCCCGAUUGCUG